rnacentral:rRNA from 1 species
GAUGAACGCUAGCGGCAGGCCUAACACAUGCAAGUCGAGGGAGAGGUUACCUUCGGGUAGCCAAAACCGGCGCACGGGUGCGUAACGCGUAUACAAUCUUCCUUUCACAUAUUUAUAGCCCGAAGAACUUUGGAUUAAUACCUAAUGGUAUAUAAGAGCGGCAUCGUUUUUAUAUUAAAGCUACGGUGGUGAAAGAUGAGUAUGCGUUCGAUUAGCUAGUUGGAGAGGUAACGGCUCGCCAAGCCGACGAUAGAUAGGGGUUCUGAGGAGUAUGUCCCCCACACUGGUAAUGAGAUACGGACCAGACUCCUACGGGAGGCAGCAGUGAGGAAUAUUAGACGAUGGUCGGAAGACUGAUCCAGCCAUGCCGCGUGCAGGAUGAAGGUCCUAUGGAUUGUAAACUGCUUUUGUAAGGGAAGAAUAAGGAGUACGUGUACUUUGAUGACGGUACCUUACGAAUAAGCACCGGCUAACUCCGUG